GAAGAAGAAGAAGAAGAACAAGAACUGAAGAAGAAACCUGGAAUUUGGGAAGGUAGCCUUUGAUCUAAACUUUUAUGUGACUCCAACAAUUUUAUUUGGAAGCAAAGCCCAUCCUCGAUCAUAGCUCUGAUACCAAUUUGUUACGUGGCAGAGUUUCCAAGACUCAAACCUGCAGAAUAAGGAUAAAGAGAAGGGAAGAACAACAGAGGAAGGAUAUCAAGAAAGAAGGGAAGAGGAAGGAUAGAGAAAGAAGUAGAGAGAGAAAUGCUUUGUAUUAUUCAAUUCUUGGCUGAUUAUCAAUUACAAUGUUAUUUCCUAUUUAUAUCAAAUAUUCUCAUACAUUCUCAUAUCCACUAUUCUAUUUAUUAGUCAUAACACCACACUCCCAUUCAUAUUGGAGGUUUGGGAGUCUCAAUGCUAAUAAGUUUAUUCUGGCUUUACUGAGGAACUUGCUCUGGGAAGUGUAUCAUGGAUUAUAUCAAUUACUUGAGCUAGUGAUAUGAAUGGAAUACGAGGAAGGAAAGCAUACUUGCAGAGAUUCUUGUUGUUGUUGGAUACUGAAUAGGCAAUUGGACUGGUCUGGUAUCUCCAGUAAACAGCCUUUUGAGUGGUGUAAUACCACGGAAAGAGUUUAUUUAACCAUAAAACCAUAGUUGGCCUUGGCUCUUCAAAUUUGCUUUUCUAGUUUAUAUCCAGCAUUAAAUGAUCAAGAUAGUCAAAAGCAAAUGGAGCACUCAAGGCGAUGGGUUAUUUUAUCACCUAAGGUGCAAAGUGCAUAGAAAGAUCUUUCUUGAGUGAAGGAAACACUAAAUUCGAAUGUUUUACAUUUUGAUAAUAUAGCAGGAUGUGAAAAAUUAUAUCUGUUACAACUUCAUGACUGAUAAUGUUCAAAUUUCUGGAGUUUAAAGUUGGUCUUUUCUGAAUGAGCUCAGCUCAAAGUGGGAGAUUUGUGUUGAGGGAAAGAGAAAUGAGACAUAGGA
rnacentral:misc_RNA from 1 species